rfam:Oryza meridionalis cultivar OR44 (W2112) chromosome 8, whole genome shotgun sequence.
UCUAAGUGUAGCUUUACACUGUUCAUAUCAAACAUUUGAUUGUUCGUCUUAUUUAAAAAAAUUAAUUAAUAUUUUUUAUUGUUAUUAGAUGAUAAAACAUAAAUUUUACUUUAUGCGUGAUAUUUUUUUAAUUUUUUUAAAUAAGACAGACAAUCAAACGUUGGACACGAAUAUUAUAGCUGUAUUUAUU